AUGGGUAGAUCCAAUGCUAAUCCUGUUUGGAGCAAGAUCUGGAAGCUAUCUUGUCUGGCAAAGGUAAAAAUCUUCAUCUGGCGUACAUUGCAUGGAACAUUCCCAUGUCGUGUUACGCUCGCCAAUAGACAUGUGAAGGUCCCUCCCAUCUGCCCAACAUGUUCAAAAGGGCUAGAAGACACGAAACACGUCUUGUUUCUAUGUCAGAAGGCGAAAAAGGUCUGGGAUAAUUUGGGUUUGUAUGAGGUGAUCAAUAGAGCCUGUGUUGUUGACCGGGCAGGAGAGGCAGUUCUUGAAAUUUUAUUACUUAUGCCAGAGGAAGAAAUAUCUGUUUUGGGACUUCAGAAUGCACGUGAAUUGAUCGUUAUAACAGCUUGGUAUUUAUGGUGGGAUAGACGUAAACUGGUUCAUGAAGGAAAGUCUCAAGAUGCAUAUCAAUCUGCGAUGGGGGCCCGUGCUAUAGCGGCAAAUUAUGUUAAAGCAAACUCCCCUAAGGCGAUUAGUAAGAAAGGGGGAUGGCUUAGACCUCCUAUGGGUUUUGUGAAGCUAAACAUUGAUGCUUCCUUUGAUCAUGAUCUGCUUAGAGGCACGGCGGGGGCAGUCCUGAGAGAUGACAAAGGAAGGUUCAUUGUUGGCGGAAGUUGGCGACUUGACUGGUGUGCGGAUGUUCUAACGGCAGAAGCAUUGGCACUGAGGUUUGGCCUUACCCUAGCACAGAAGGCGGGGUGCAACCGCCUUAUUGUUAACUCUGAUAAUAUGGAAGUGAUUGACACGAUGAAGAAUGGAGGAUAA
rnacentral:rRNA from 1 species